GGAGUAGUUUGCUGGCUGGAAGUGGACUGAAACCUAGAAGAGCUUGCAUCUAGGAAAGAUUAGAACUGAAGGGCCUUCUGCUGCCUGGGAAAAGGCUGAAGCCAUGAAAAUAAGAGAGAACCUUAGAUAAUUCAGUCUCCUGAAGACAGCUGCCCAGCCACGGGACCGGUUCAACUCGUGCACACUUAAGAGAUUCUGAGUGAAUUAAAGUAGGUCGCCUGAGAACCACAUCCCUCCUGACUGGCAGAGCGAUUGCCGCAGGAACAGAGCAAGCAGCAUGAGGGUGAUGAAAGGGGGUGGAGAAGAGAAUCUAAAUCUGUGAAUGGUCUAGAUAAGCUGGUGGGCCAAAUGCUGCAUAGAAGGUGGUGGAUGCUUUGCUGUUCGCAGCACUUUAUCCAGUGAAAGGACAGGUAGUACAAGGUGGGCAGGGGCCUGUGUUUCAUCACUGCAACCCUGCAGAGCAUCUCAAACAUGCAACAGAAUUGGGUUCAGCUGGAAAUUUGGGUCCAAAACCUCUCAAAGAUAGGUUGGGGUGGAUUUCCACCCUGCGCACGUGUGCACACACACGAGCCAGCCUUUCCACCUAACUCUUAGCCAUACAUACAAAUGCAGAAUGUAAAUCUUGGAUCCUACCCUGAUGGCAUCCAUACCCUGAUCCUACCCUGAUGGCAUGUGGUUUGAGGAUGGAUAGGGAGAGGGAUCCUAAAUCCUCCAGUAUGUUUUCAGUGUAUGAAGCAGACAGCUGUGUCCAGUACCUAAGGAAUACCAGAGCAAUUUUUUCCCCCUCCCAGUUGCAGUAUUACUGCCUUCUGAAAAAAAUGCUCUGCAGCUGACAGAUUAACUUCAUCUCUUCAGGAAGUCUAAUAUUUAAUGCAAAUUGAGGGUGGAGCACCAUUUCCCUUGGCCUUGAAAAAUGAAGGGUUAGGAAAGUACCAAUUGGAUGCGAGGACUGAUGAACUAACUACCACUUACGUAGUCAUAGCCUGUAUAUAAAGAAGGGUAUUUGCAGCAGCCUCCUCUAGAAGACUGCUAUCCCUGGGGCAGAACUUAACAGUUGUUUAACAGGGUGUUGCAAAGAUCCAGAGCAGUUCAGCAUGGGAAAUGAAGGAGAAUUGCAUAUGCAGCUGAAAUGGGAGUACAUUCAUUCAUGGCUGCCUGUUACCCUGUGUCUGAAUGCAGCAGCCCAGAUGGAAGGGAGAAAGGCAAAAUAGACUUAGCCAAAAUUGAAAUUUGGCCACAAAUUGAGAGUUAAUACCCAGAUCUUAGUGGAAAAUGCCAUGAGAUCUUUACUGACCACUAAUGACCAAGGCCAGAUGUACACCACAUCUGGGGAUUACUGCUAGUAUGAUGCAAACACUGCAAAAAUGUAUCCAUUAAAACUUUGUGAGGAGUAGACCGGGACAUUCAAGCUUAUUUAUGAAUGUUCACUUGGAUAAAACUUAAUGUAUGAUAGUAUUUACAACAGGCUUGCCUUCUGGCAGGCUUGCUUGUGCAAACUGAAGCAUUUGGAGACAAGUGCAUGCUAGAGACCACAGUUUACACCACAAGUGAUCAAAGUGAAGGUUAUCUAGUCUGGGAGCAGAAACCGUAUCAGGUAAUCUCAAUGAACAAUCACAGGAGGAAUAGCCAUAAGGCUGAAGUUUGAGUAAAGCAUAUAGUUAGGAUCUGUAGAGAAAAAUCAGCAGAAAGCCAUGUUGCUGGCUCCACAAACCUGUUGGGUCCUACUCAAUGUGCAUUAGCUGCUGCAUGCUUAUUCAAACUACAAGUAUACACUCAGCGUAGCCUCUUCACAUCAUCAACCAGGUGACUGAACUGGCUGACAGCAGAGCUAAUGCCGGGUUAAAUGCCAAUCCAAAGUGCAUUUCUAUUUUACUCUUCUUGUACACUAGAUGCAUUUACAUCAAGCCUGCAUUGCAUGUUACAACUUGCUAUUUAAUGAUCUUUUCAAUUAGCCUUUCUGUGUCUAUCUAACCCAGUCUUGGUUGUAUUAUUCUACAUGCUUUCCUCAUGAUCAAUCACGUUUGCCUGUGUGCCUUUGCAACUUAUUGAUUAAUGAGCUUACUCAGUUACAGUAUCCCCUGUAUCCCCUGCAUGUAUUGUUUCAGGGUUGGUCCUACCAUCCUAUGUGCUUUAUCUACUCUGGCAGUUCAUGAAAAGCCCUGAGAUUGGGAUCUGUUAUUCCACCAAAUGUUCUGCUGCCUUUUUGCACAACUUUCACCAUCCAGGCUUUUAACUCUUCUUGGUCUGCCUUAUGGCCUACAACCACAAAACCCAAGUAAAAUGAUAUUGGUCACUAUGAACAGCCAAACCAAAUCCUUAGUAAAUAAUAAUAAUAAUUGUACUGUGGUAGCCCCUACAGACCUUGACCAACAUCAAGUGCCCAUGGGCUAAGCUCUGUACAAAUGCACAGGGACCUGGCCAUGGUCAUACAGAGAAGGGUUGCCCUUGACCCAUCCUUGCCUUCUCCCCAAGUUGUAGCUAGAGUAGCAACUAUAGAGGCCAUUGAAUUGCAGGCAAAGGGCUGUUCUGUAAUAUGCAUGCAUUCUUUCUGGAACAAGGUACAAGUCUUAUGCCUAGUCCAGUGUAGUUGGGUGUAUUGGCUGGUUGCCUGGCAUAUGUCGGCUAUACUCGGGUACUGGGCAUUUAUGCUUGAAGUCUGUAUAUUUGUGCUUGACGGCAUCUUUUUGGCAAAAACGUUUUUCCAGGCAGCCCAGUGAUUCUUGCACUUCCCCGUAGUUCAAUACAUGCCAGGCAACUGCUUAUACCAUCUAUUCCAUUAGGCAAGCUAACUUUCUGCCCCAGAAUAUAUGCGAGUGCUGAAAAUUAAGUGGGUUGCUGUCAAAGCAAUAACUUUGCAUGGGAGAAUCUGAUCGUUCAGGGAAUGGGUAAGCGAGAGCAGGGAGCUGAGGAGUUGCCUUUGGCAUAAGGGGUGAGCACAGGACUGCAGCAGUACAAAUAAUGGGAAGAAGAGCUGGUGGGCAAGUGGUAUGCUAACAAUCCUAUGGAACAGGUAGGAGAGGAUGAGAUACAAAGGGUUGAAGGAAUCUGUGUGUGAUGAGGAAGGACUGUCUGGUGCUGAAGGUGAUGGGCAGCAUCAACACAUCUGUACUAUUUCCACCUUUACUUUGGCUUCAGCGUAUAAGUUAGGCCUAGUCACUUGGGUUGGGAUUUUCAAAAUGUGUUGGAGUUCAGCACCCAACUCCUUUAAAGCCCCAUCCAUGAACAUGGGAUAACUGUCCUUUCUAUGUGUGCCUUGUCUACUUGGAUCAAAAGGUAUUUGGAACAGGCACUGCAUUGUCCUUGUUUUGUCCUUGCAUUUAAAUCCUUUAUCAAUAACACUGAUGCCAAAGAAUAAGUAAUUGCUGGGGGAGAGAAGGGUGCUUUCGUUCUUCUCUAUGCAGCUCUCCGGGUGCUUUCAUUCUUGUGAUGCACAUUGCACAUUCCCUGCAGAUUUAACUGCCACAUUCAGGUUGCAGAUGCCCAGGGCUGAGGACACAGUUGAGGUGCACAUAGUAUGGGGCAGAGAGACGGUUUCCACCUUCCCUCAAUUCUGGGAAAAGAAGUAUGGAUCCUGAGAGGGCUCGGAUAACUUGCGAUCACAUUUGGAGCUAGCUUAUGAAUCCAGGCCUGCAAAACAGCCCCUCACUACUUCCACAGCUCCUCUACCUUGCAUAGCUCAAGACCCAGAUUCAGGCAGACCACUUGGCACCCAGGGGAGAAACCAUCAGUCAUUGACUCUUUUUGUACUUGUCCUGUGUGGGAGGGAAGAGCCUUUUAAGAACAUGUGUUCUCAGAAAUGGGCAGUAAGACAACUGAUCCUGCUGGAAUCAGAUCCCUGCACUAUGCUCCUCCAGCAGCAUUUGGGUUGGCAAUAGUCCCAUGCUGUUGUCCGGCUCAGCUCAGAGAAGGGGGCCCGAUUGCCAACGCUGUUGGAUCAUUUGGCAUAGCUUCUCUAGCUGUCCCUCCAUGUGUGCUUAUGAGAGAGCCUUCCUUACUGCAAACUGGCUGCUAGCUGAUGGGAGCUCUUGCCAUAAAUGUGACCAGAACUGCAACGCACAUGGACUCCAACCAGCUCAUGACAAAUGUCUCUAGCAACUUGCCUCCUUUUUCCUCUCUUUGUCCUCUCUCACUUCUAUUUACAUUAUCUUCCCCUUCAUUAGCUUUCCCUGUUCCAUACCUGUCAUGCCUCCUUUUCUAUCUUUUCUUGGUCCUGUCCUCGGCCAUGUCCUAUUCUGUGCAGAGGUCUGUUCAAACCUACCUGUUGCUUUGCCAGCAAAGGGCUACUGCCCAUCCUGCAUUGCCAGCUUAGACUUUGAACAGUUUUCCAGCAGGGCUGUAAAUGACCCUUAAAGAGGCUGGAACAGGAGGCGUUUCAAGGGAAGGUUAACGGGUUGGUGAAAUCGCCUGCUCCCACCCUCUCCCAUUUCUUCUGCCUCAUUAGGGUGAUCAAAGCCAGCCUGUGCCACCCUUCCCAGCCAUCACAAUUGCUGCUUCCCUCCACCUGAUUGUGUCCAGAUGAUACAUUUCCUGGUAAGGGUGGUCCGGUCCAAGCCAGGGAGCAUUCACGUUUGACAGGAGUGCAGCUCCCCUUGAUCUAAAGUGAACUCCCUUCCCUUCCUGUUCUCUGUGCUCUGCAAUACUGA